AUUGAACGCUGGCGGCAGGCCUAACACAUGCAAGUCGAACGAGUGGCGGACGGGUGAGUAAUGUCUGGGAAACUGCCCGGUGGAGGGGGAUAACUACUGGAAACGGUAGCUAAUACCGCAUACCAUCGGAUGUGCCCAGAUGGGAUUAGCUAGUAGGUGGGGUAACGGCUCACCUAGGCGACGAUCCCUAGCUGGUCUGAGAGGAUGACCAGCGACACUGGAACGGAGACACAGUCCAGACUCCGACGGGAGGACGCAGUGGGGAAGAUUGCACGAUGGGCGCAAGCCAGAUGCAGCCAUGCCGGUUGUAUGAAGAAGGCCUUCGGGUUGUAAAGUGCUUUCAGCGAGGAGGCGUUACUCGCAGGAGAAGCACCGGCUAACUCCGUGCCAGCAGCCGCGGUGAUUC
rnacentral:rRNA from 1 species